AGUGGUUAGAGGUGAGGGACGGCAGGGUAGCCUAGUGGUUAGGGUGGAGGGGCGGCAGAUUAGCCUAGUGGUUAGAGGUGAGGGGCGGCAGGGUAGCCUAGUGGUUAGAGUGGAGGGGCGGCAGGUAGCCUAGUGGUUAGAGUGGAGGGGCGGCAGGGUAGCCUAGUGGUUAGAGUGGAGGGGCGGCAGGGUAGCCUAGUGGUUAGAGUGGAGGGGCGGCAGCGUAGCCUAGUGGUUAGAGUGGAGGGGCGGCAGGGUAGCCUAGUGGUUAGAGUGGAGGGGCGGCAGCGUAGCCUAGUGGUUAGAGUGGAGGGGCGGCAGGUAGCCUAGUGGUUAGAGGUGAGGGGUGGCAGGGUAGCCUAGUGGUUAGAGUGGAGGGGCGGCAGGUAGCCUAGUGGUUAGAGUGGAGGGGCUGCAGGUAGCCUAGUGAUUAGAGUGGAGGGGUGGCAGGGUAGCCUAGUGGUUAGAGUGGAGGGGCGGCAGGUAGCCUAGUGGUUAGAGUGGAGGGGCGGCAGGUAGCCUAGUGGUUAGAGUGGAGGGGCGGCAGGGUAGCCUAGUGGUUAGAGUGGAGGGGCGGCAGAUUAGCCUAGUGGUUAGAGUGUAGGGGCGGCAGGGUAGCCUAGUGGUUAGAGUGGAGGGGUGGCAGGGUAGCCUAGUGGUUAGAGUGGAGGGGCGGCAGGUAGCCUAGUGGUUAGAGUGGAGGGGCGGCAGGUAGUCUAGUGGUUAGAGUGGAGGGGCGGCAGCGUAGCCUAGUGGUUAGAGUGGAGGGCGGCAGGGUAGCCUCGUGGUUAGAGUGGAGGGGCGGCAGGUAGCCUAGUGGUUAGAGUGGAGGGGCGGCAGAUUAGCCUAGUGGUUAGAGUGGAGGGGCGGCAGGGUAGCCUAGUGGUUAGAGUGGAGGGCGGCAGGGUAGCCUAGUGGUUAGAGUGGAGGGGCGGCAGGGUAGCCUAGUGGUUAGAGUGGAGGGGCGGCAGGGUAGCCUAGUGGUUAGAGUGGAGGGGCGGCAGGGUAGCCUAGUGGUUAGAGGUGAGGGGCGGCAGGGUAGCCUAGUGGUUAGAGGUGAGGGGCGGCAGGGUAGCCUAGUGGUUAGAGCGUUGGACUAGUUAACCGGAAGGUUGAAAGUUCAAACCCCAGAGCUGACAAGGUACAAAUUGGUCGUUCUGCCCCUGUUCCUAGGCCAUCAUUGAAAAUAAGAAUUUGUUCUUAACUGACUUGCCUCGUUAAAUAAAAGGUAAAAUAAAAAUAAAAAAGUAUGUUAAUAUACACUUACCACUCCAGCUAGUUCCAGGUACUGUAUGAUUCUCUCAUCGUCCACUGACCCUGUGAAAAGACAACCGUUAUGGCUUCAACAGUGAGAAGUUUUUUUUGGCUAUGACUAUUGCCUCCUCGUGACACUUUCUGUCAAAAUGUCAAAAUGUGUCCCUGAGAAGGCCAUUUUCACAAGACCAUACCUGAUACAGGGUAGAUCUCCUUCAGAGGGUAGAUCACCUGUUGAAGAGAGAGAAAAAACAAGUUAGUUAAAUUUUGUUACACUGGUGCGAUCUUCCUCAAAGUAGGAAUGGACAAAACAAACAAAUUAAUGUUUUCUAGCUGUUCUCUGAGCGUUCCGUCUGUCAGGUAGGGUUUCUGGGUAAUAUAGUAAUUACCUGUUCUCUGAGCGUUCAGUCUGUCAGGUAGGGUUUCUGGGUAAUAUAGUAAUUACCUGUUCUCUGAGUGUUCCGUCUGUCAGGUAGGGUUUCUGGGUAAUAUAGUAAUUACCUGUUCUCUGAGUGUUCCGUCUGUCAGGUAGGGUUUCUGGGUAAUAUAGUAAUUACCUGUUCUCUGAGUGUUCCGUCUGUCAGGUAGGGUUUCUGGGUAAUAUAGUAAUUACCUGUUCUCUGAGUGUUCCGUCUGUCAGGUAGGGUUUCUGGGUAAUAUAGUAAUUACCUGUUCUCUGAGUGUUCCGUCUGUCAGGUAGGGUUUCUGGGUAAUAUAGUAAUUACCUGUUCUCUGAGCGUUCCGUCUGUCAGGUAGGGUUUCUGGGUAAUAUAGUAAUUACCUGUUCUCUGAGUGUUCCGUCUGUCAGGUAGGGUUUCUGGGUAAU